GUGCUUGUUUUGGCAGCACAUUGAAACAAUAUAGAGAAGAUCAGCAUGAUCCCUGUACAUGGAUGACACACAAAUUUGUGAGGUGUUGUAUAUUUCU
rnacentral:snRNA from 1 species